CUUUCUUGGACACCUCCGUGAGUGCAGCAUUCUGUCAAUUGGAGAGUGAAGUGUCAGCUCAGAUAUUCAUUCUUAAGUCCUGGAGAGAACCUCAUGGCUCAGAGCAAUUGCUCAAACUCACAUCCUGCACUCGAAGACAAAAGAGAUCAGUGCAACAAAAGAAUUCCACUUGUCUAUUUCCAGCACGACUGAUCGGGCUGGUCGGGUCCGAAAUGACAUACCUCUGAGACUGGGUCUGCAGCAGCUGCUGAGGAAACCAACAAGAGGGAAUAACAAACCUGACCUCAUCCUCAUGCGGGACAGCAUGCCAGGAGCAACACCAGGUAUGCAUGAAAACAAGAUGUCACUUGGUGCCACUGGGUAUCAGUUGGCUCAAUUGGCUGGACAUUUUAUUUGUGAUGCAGACUGAUGCCAACAGUGUGGGUUUGAUUCCUGAACUGGCUGAGGUCACCAUGAAUGUCCCUACCUCUCAAACUCUCCCCAUCGCCUGAGGAUUGGGACCCUCUGGUUAAACCAUCACCAGCCAUGUCUCUCUGUGAUAAUACAAUUGUUCUCUGGGACUAUAGCAGGAAUAUUUAUGUGCUAAACAGCACAAGCAGCAAGUAAUAAACAGAGCUAAGAGAGCCCACAACCAAUGGAUCAGAUUGAAACUCUGCUAUCCUGUUACAUCCAAUCGGGAAUGGUGGUGGACAAUUAAACAACUCACUGGAGGAAAAGGCAUGUUAACAGUUUAGAAAAUAAAGUUACAUAUAAAUUGUGUUUUUAUAUAUAAUGUUUUGUUACAGAGAUACAAAUUAAAAUUAUUUACAAGGCAAGUUAAAGAAUAUUCUCUGUAGAUAAUAUAUCUUCAGAUAAAAUGUUAAAAAUCACACAACACCAGGUUAUAGUCCAACAGCUUUAAUUGG